AGUGGAUGGGCUUACUGCAGUGGCUUCUCUUGUUGCAGAACAUAUGCUUCAGAGCAGAGACUCAGUAGUUGUGGUGCACAGGGUUAGUUAAGUCUGGAGGCACGUAGGAUCUUCCUGGGCUAGGGACAGAACUUAUGUCUCCUACAUUGGCAGGCAGAUUCUUUAUCACCGAGCCACUGGGGAAGCCCUGAAUUUCUAUCUCUUUAUUGCUUUUUUUUUUUUUUUUUACAAAGUUUUCUUUCUUACAAAAACUGCUGAAUGGUGGAACUGUUUUCAUUCUUUAUUAUAUCUACUAAUGAAGGGCUAGUAAUCAAGAAUACGAUACAGAUGAUAUUGGCAAAGUUUUACCUCUGCCGGGUUUGUGUUCAGUGA
rnacentral:lncRNA from 1 species